rnacentral:rRNA from 1 species
UACGUAGGGUGCAAGCGUUGUCCGGAAUUAUUGGGCGUAAAGAGCUCGUAGGCGGUCUGUCGCGUCUGCUGUGAAAACUCAGGGCUUAACCCUGAGCUUGCAGUGGGUACGGGCAGACUAGAGUGCGGUAGGGGAGACUGGAAUUCCUGGUGUAGCGGUGAAAUGCGCAGAUAUUGGGAAGAACACCGGUGGCGAAAGCGCCUUGCUGGACCUGCACUGACACUGAGGGACGAAAGCUAGGGGAGCGAAAGGG